GGGCCACAUGGUCGGGACGCUCUGCAGUAGGGGAGGGUUCCAAGAGUACAGGGAGUACUUUCGCACUCGUAGCGGACUGGGCUGGUUACGAC
rfam:Pseudomonas oryzihabitans strain TSDA-ARS-TSMARC-56511, complete genome.